UGGUGGCACAAACAACAAGAAAGUAGACAGAGCUGAAGAUACUGCGAUUCUCUUUGGGUGUGAUGAGAAUGGCCAGGAUUGGGAAUGAACAUAUCAGACGGACAACCCAGGUGGGACGGUUUGGAGACAAAGUCAGAGAGGUGAGACUGAGAUGGUUUGGACAUGUGCAGAGG